rnacentral:lncRNA from 1 species
UGGCAUGGCUUGCCAAGAAUGAAUUAAAUGUUUCCACAGAAUCAUUUGCUUCGCUCCUAAUCGGCUCUGUAAAUUAUUUUCCUUCCUCCCACUAGUUUAAGAGGGACAUACUGGCUCCCUUGGUCAGGCACCUCAGGCUAGGGUUUUGGGGAAAGGAAGAAAUAGAAAGCCAUGAGAGGCCCUACUAGAAAGCUAGGGGGGAGAAUGGAAAACUGGGCUGAGGCUGGCCUUGGAGCACUAGAUAGGACAGAAAACUCAUGGAUGCUCCACCAGGGCUGUGGUGACAGAGGUGCUGGGAAGGAAAGAUUUCUGGGUCAUUGGCCCUGGGACACAAAAUCACCAGUGGGAGUCACAGAUGCCAAUGCCGUGACUUGCUCCCUCUGGAAAAUCCUGGAAAGUGGGCCCCAUGCCCCAGGCUCAAGAGCAACUUCCUAGGGUGUCUCACUCACUGUAAUCUUCCUCCUGGGUGCCCUCCUGCGUUGCCAUGGUGACCAUCUGCCAAUGCCUCGACAGGUCUGGGUACCAAGCAUUCCUGCUGCUGAGCAUACGUCUCCACUCUGUUCUGGAAGUCUCAGGGGGCUCCUUUCUAUUCCAACAGGCCCCACACCAAGAGAAUGGGAAGACUCUCCCCUUCCCCAGCGUGUCAUACUCUUCUGGAAUCAUGAAGCCGUCCCACCUGUGCCCUUUCAUGUCCAAUGCGUCUUUAGUUAUUCUUCCCAUUAGAGUUCUCUCUUCUGUGGACUCAUGCAGUGGGAACCAAGCUGGAGGCCAAUCUGAAUGACACAGUUUGGGGCCAUACCCAUCUUCCCUCUUGUCUGUCUUGGGCAUCAGCCCCUUGUUAAUAUUUGCACAUGGCACUUUCCAUUAGUUCAGCAUCAUUCCCUGGGACAUUACUUCAGCUUCCUGUUCUCCAAAAAGGUAGGGAAUUUUUUUGGAAGGACGGUGGCCAAACUGUGUUUCUCCCAAACUUCCUCUUUCUCCUACAUGAACAGAUCCUCACUGGGCUAGUCUUACCAAUGCAGACAGCUAUGAAGAGUCAAAGACUCACGAAUUGGCUAGUGUGGCAUCCUAUGACACUGACGCCAUGGCACUGCUCUCAGUUCUAGUACAAAUGGUGGAUGUGGCGAACAGAGCAACUUUUUCCUGGUAAGCCUCAGAAUCCUCCUCAACACCAAGCAUCAAACUGCUAUUAUCAGUUCAGUGGGAUUGCAUCUUACAAUGACCCCUUUCUGUCUUCCUUAGCUUAAGAUCCCUAUUGCGUCUCCUCUCUAAACAGCACAUCCAUGAACACUCGAAAUUAACAUAUUUAAUGCUGACUUCCACAGCUUGUAGAAUCCACCCUCUGCCAGGGGGCUUGCAAUUUGUCUCCGAUACAUUAAAACAUUGCAAGUAUACUUGAUUGGGGGUGGUGAGUUGCUAGAACACCACUUUAUUCAAGAUAGAGUUUGUCUCUUUUCAGAGUUUAUGAGUGCAUCUCCUAUGACUAUUCAUGUCUCUCAAGGGCUAGGGGAACAGAGAUUAUAGUCUAGAAUGUAUUGGUCUGGGUAAGUUGUACCUAUCCUGAGAGGCAGAGAGGACAACCUGAGACUUAUCUCCUACAGUAAACCCUGUCAUAACCUGGCCGAUCCCUGGCUAUAAAAACAGCUCUAAUAACCACAGUUCCUGCCACAUGGAUACUUGUUCCCUGACACAGAAGAAAAGGUGAUGAUUUGCAGCUCAGUUAUUUUAUGAGUUACCUUAUAUUUUGGGUCCAUUAAUAGGUGCCAAAGGUGGGGGGAUGAGCCAAACUAAAUAGAAGUUUAAUAUGUGGAACAGCUAAACAUUGUGUUCUUCAUUAAGGCAUCAAACAAAUAACGACAAAAGCAAGCAAAAAAACAAAAACAAAAAACCUUUAGUUCUAGUCUUUCUUGAAAUCUGAAAUUCAGUUAUAGAGCUGACAGUUAGGAACCAGCUCCUUCUGACUUUCUCCCCUCCUUUCCAUUAUGGCAUGGGUCCCCUGCACUGAUGUUUGGGACUUUGAGAUUUGACUGCCACUCUUCCCAUGCUUUUUCAUGCCCCUGGCACUUGUUUCCAAUCCGGGGACUUCAUUAGGGCUCCACGGUCCAGUCCCAUGCUGCACUCAGGGGCUUGUAAGCAUCUCAGGCCUCAGGUCUGCUGAUCCUCCUCUGAUGCUGGCCCUCUCUGGAUGCUUGCCUGGUGCCUCCAACCCUGCUCACAGCUCUGUCCUGGACCCUGUAUCAGCAUCCCCACCUUGCCUCUCUGCCGACGGCUUCCAGUGCUCCAGGGUUAGGGCUAGGGGCUCUGUACUGAGUUUCUCCAACUCAGCUUCGGUUUCCUUCUCAGGCCCAAGUUAGUCUGCCACUCUCCCCAGGCUUCGGCCUGACUCCCUCUUACCCACAUCGGUUGCUCCUCUCUCCUUGCAGUUGGGAUACGAUGAAAAUAUUGCUUCCCCAGCCUUUUCUUUGCUUUCCUGUUCCUGAAAACAAAUUCACUUAUUAUUUUCAUCUCAAGUGAGCUGUUGCUUAGUCUAAGGGAUAGGUAAAGGGUGAUGAGACUAGCAUUCUUGGGCAAGUAAUGAAGCUGUAAAAUAACCACGGCCUCUUUUUUCUUUCUGGAAUGGUAGCUGCACUCUCCCUUAGAGGUCUACUCUUUUUUUCAUUUUGCUUUGUUUUGUUUUUUGCUUUUUAGGUCUGCACUUGUGGCAUAGGGAAGUUCUUGGGCUAGAGGUCAAAUCAGGGCUGCAGCUGCCGGCCUACACCACAGCGAUGCCAGAUCAGAGCCAAGUCUAUGACCUACACCACAGCUCAGGGCAACGCUGGAUCCUUAACCCACCGAGCGGAGCCAGGGUUGGAACCCACAUCCUCCUCACGGACACUAGUUGGAUUCACUGCUGAUGAGCUACAACGGAAACUCCAGAUUUUUACUCUUGAGAGGUGGACCCAUUUAUUCCACCUUACGAUCUAUCCUUUUAAGCAAAGACAAUUUUGAGAAUGAAGGAGAUGUUAUUAAUAAUUAUGCCAGAAUAACAGAAUAAACCAGGACCAAUAUGGGCAACAGUUAUAUUCUCAUCUUGACCUUGCCUUUAGCAGCCCACAUAGAGCAAACUUCCCUUGGCCAGGGCCUGUAUCUGGGGUCAUUUCUCUUGAGAGUGGUAGACAGAUAUGCCGGCCACCAUAUGCCUUUAAAGGAAGGAAGAUCUUCUUGCAGGUCUUGGAUUGACUCCUCUCUAAACGCAUGGACCUGACUAGUAGUAUCUUUGGUGAUGCGUGGUUUCCCCAUCUGUACAAUGGUUAUAAUGGUAACUGUCUUUAAAGAUUAAAUAGGACAACAUACAUAAAACAUUUGACUUGGGAUAUUUUAAUAAAUUCUAGUUUCCGUUUCCAUUUCUUCAUCUUUCCCUUAAUGAAACCCACGAAGCGUGCCAACUCUAUUUCCACGUCCUCUCCUUUAAAGGGAAAAUGGUCUGUGAUCUGCUACUCAGUAUUCUAUCUCAAAAUGGAUUCCCAACUUUGCAUUCCUAACAUCUUCUAAUGUAACAAAUAACACGGCUGAAAUUGGAUACAUUAAGUGAAGUGAUUUUAAUGUAUGAGACAGAAAGAGAGAUUUAGUUCAUGAUCCAAAUAUGCACGAAUACCAGAUGCAUUCAGAGAAAGAUGCUGCUGGAGGAUGCAAAUGAAAAUGAUGAAUCCUGCGUUGGGACAAAAUUGAAUGAGAAGUUGGCUAAUGGUUUUAGGGUGAAACCUUUAGUUCCAGACCACCGGCGUUAAUUCCACACUGAAAGCUAUUAUGUUCCAUGCUGGCUGCUGGGAGAAGAGACUGAGAAAACCAAAUAUAAUUGCUGUGGAGAGAAUGUUCUCAGACAGCAGUCCUGUGCCUUAAAUCAGUCCCUCACACACUCUCUACCUCAGUUUCCUCACCUGCAAAAUGGGCACAACGAUAUGAACGUAACAGGAGUGUGAUGGGAAUGAAAUGAGAGCCCUGGCAGUGUCGACUGUCAAAAACAAACACCAGUUUAUUUUUUCUUCUUUAGGAAUUUGGAUUGAAUCUGGAAAAUCAUAGAUCCUUGCACCCCUUCUUUUAACUUCAACUAGCUUUUUCUGUGGAAUUGAAUGAAAAUUUCUUGUUUUUAGAGCUGCGAAGCCUAGAUCUGUAACACUGACUGAUUUCAAGUGAGAAGUUGAAAUCCUCAAGACCCUCACCAGGCCAAUUUAAACCACUGGCCCCUCAGAAUACUAGUUUUGUGGGACUUUAAAAAAGUAGUGGUUCCUUCAAAAAUGGGAUGGGUGUUCAAAUGUCUUUGAGAAAUGCUGGGUAAAUUAAACAGGUUUCUUUACUGCAUGGCAGUUCAAAUAUUUAAAUAAACUAACAUGCAUGUCCAAGAUGGGGCCGUGUAAUGUACAUUGCCUUCCAAAUGAGCUGACCAUAGUCUCCAUAUUUUGGGGGGGAUAUUUUUAGAGACCCAUGAUUCUUAGUGUGCUCUGGCAGGCACCCUUCUCAUAAUUUUCAUGGAUUUGGAAAAAAAAUGUUUACAUUAUACUAUUAAGCAAAAAGCAAGAUACUAAAUUUCACAUAUUGUAAAAUCGCAACAAUGUUAAAAUGUAUUUAAGGGACUGGCAAGAAAUACAUCAAAAUAUUAACACAUUAACUAAAAGCAGUGAUCUCAGGGGGGAAGAAUUUGGGUAUUUUAAAAAUCUAUUUUACUUACAGUUUCUAAUUUUUCUACAAUGAACAUAUAUUUCUUUUCUAAACCAAAAUUUUUACUUUUUUUUUUCUUUUGGUUACACACUCUCAGAAGGGAUUGUUUCUUUUCCAAACACAACGCUGGAUCCACCUGAGUGAAAUAUGCCUUUCACUGCAUCCUGAGAGGACAGAAGAACCAUAAAAAGCCUUUAGAAGCCCUUGAGGAAUUUUGAAGAUGAAAUAAAGAUUAUAAACCACAGAAAAAUACAUAAAGCUAAGCUGUAAGAGCAGUAAAGAGAAAAGUAGGGGCAAGGGAGACUGAGUAACUAAAGAAAAAAAUAAGAAACACAGCCUUGGAGUUCUCGUCGUGGCACAGCAGAAAUGAAUCUGACUAGAAACCAUGAGGUUGCGGGUUCAAUCCCUGGCCUUGCUCAGUGGGUUAAGGAUCUGCGUUGCCCUGAGCUGUGGUGCAGGUCGCAGGCAAGGCUCGAAUCUAGCGUUGCUGCGGCUGUGGCCUAGGCCCAGCAGCUGUAGCUCUGAUUUGACCCCACUAGCCUGGGAACCUCCAUAUG